AUUGAACGCUGGCGGCAGGCUUAACACAUGCAAGUCGAGCGGGGUGAUGGUGCUUGCACUAUCACUUAGCGGCGGACGGGUGAGUAAUGCUUAGGAAUCUGCCUAUUAGUGGGGGACAACAUCUCGAAAGGGAUGCUAAUACCGCAUACGUCCUACGGGAGAAAGCAGGGGAGCACUUGUGACCUUGCGCUAAUAGAUGAGCCUAAGUCGGAUUAGCUAGUUGGUGGGGUAAAGGCCUACCAAGGCGACGAUCUGUAGCGGGUCUGAGAGGAUGAUCCGCCACACUGGGACUGAGACACGGCCCAGACUCCUACGGGAGGCAGCAGUGGGGAAUAUUGGACAAUGGGGGGAACCCUGAUCCAGCCAUGCCGCGUGAGUGAAGAAGGCCUUAUGGUUGUAAAGCACUCUAAGCGAGGAGGAGGCUCUUUUGGUUAAUACCCAAGAUGAGUGGACGUUACUCGCAGAAUAAGCACCGGCUAACUCUGUGCCAGCCGCCGCAGUAA
rnacentral:rRNA from 1 species